rnacentral:rRNA from 1 species
GACGAACGCUGGCGGCGUGCCUAAUACAUGCAAGUAGAACGCUGAAGGAGGAGCUUGCUUCUCUGGAUGAGUUGCGAACGGGUGAGUAACGCGUAGGUAACCUACCUGGUAGCGGGGGAUAACUAUUGGAAACGAUAGCUAAUACCGCAUAAGAGUAGAUGUCGCAUGACAUUUGCUUAAAAGGUGCAAUUGCAUCACUACCAGAUGGACCUGCGUUGUAUUAGCUAGUUGGUGAGGUAACGGCUCACCAAGGCAACGAUACAUAGCCGACCUGAGAGGGUGGCGGCCCACACUGGGACUGAGACCCGACCCAGCCCCCUGCGGGGGGACGAAGUAGGGAACCUUCGGAAAUGGCGGGAAGUCUGACCGAGAAAGCCCGCGGGAGUAAAGAGGUUUUUGGGAUCGUAAGGCUUUGUUGAAAGAGAAGAACGAGGGGGAGAGGGGAAAGUUCACACUGUGACGGUAUCUAACCAGAAGGGGCGGGCUACCUACGUC